GGGGGUGUACUGGUUUUGACAGGCGAGGUAGAUGCUUUGGAGAGCAUGCCCAGGGUGGGAACGCAACCUGGCCAAAAGGCGUUUCACAGCUUAAUUGACAAUCAAUUAGCUCUUGCUGCCUAAUAUUUAAGGGCAGCCGGCUUUAUGAAGGUAGUUGGAGCCUCUAUAAAGUUGUAAUUUUCACCAACUAAGAAGACCUCCGCCGCCUAGAGGGGGAUCUUCCGACAAUUUUUGGGCUUUCGGGGUUUGAGCUUGCCUAUGCACUACAAACCCAAGAGGAUAAGCAUACGGCUAAGCAUGUAGCGUUCCUUGUGUCUCUUGUCUGGACGUGGGUUCAAUUCCCACCACCUCCACCU
rnacentral:tmRNA from 1 species